rnacentral:rRNA from 1 species
UACGGGGGGAGCAAGCGUUGUUCGGAUUUACUGGGCGUAAAGGGCGCGUAGGCGGCCACCGCAAGUCAGUUGUGAAAUCUCCGGGCUUAACCCGGAAAGGUCAACUGAUACUGCGGGGCUAGAGUGCAGAAGGGGCAACUGGAAUUCUCGGUGUAGCGGUGAAAUGCGUAGAUAUCGAGAGGAACACCUGCGGCGAAGGCGGGUUGCUGGGCUGACACUGACGCUGAUGUGCGAAAGCUAGGGGAGCGAACGGG